UUAAUUGAAACCAAAUCCGAGGUUCAUCAUUGUUAAUGAUGCUAAUGAAGUCCCCUUCCAAUUAAA
rnacentral:tRNA from 1 species